rfam:Rhodobacter capsulatus SB 1003, complete genome.
CGGCGGGACACCCUUCCCCAACGAAGGGCGUUUAUCUGGAAGGAUAGCGACA